GAUUAACGCUGGCGGCGUGCAUAACACAUGCAAGUCGAACGAUGAAACUUAGUAGACUUCUUCGGAAAGACACUAAGCGGAUUAGUGGCGAACGGGUGAGUAACGCGUGAGUAACCUGCCUUACACAAGGGGAUAGCCUUUGGAAACGAAGAAUAAUACCCUAUAAAACUAUAAAAGCACAUGCUAGAAUGGUCAAAGUGCUAGCGGUGUAAGAUGGACUUGCGUCUGAUUAGCUAGUUGGUGAGAUAGAAGCUCACCAAGGCAACGAUCAGUAGCCGGCUUGAGAGAGUGUACGGCCACAUUGGGACUGAGACACGGCCCAGACUCCUACGGGAGGCAGCAGUGGGGAAUUUUGCACAAUGGGGGAAACCCUGAUGCAGCGACGCCGCGUGAUUUAGAAGGCCUUCGGGUUGUAAAAAUCUUUUGUAUAGGAAGAAAAUGACAGUACUAUACGAAUAAGGUCCGGCUAAUUACGUG
rnacentral:rRNA from 1 species